rnacentral:sRNA from 1 species
GCCUAGCCCCGAUUGAAGCAAUUGUUUGAGCUCUUUUUUGUUUUUCUUUUUAAAAAACAAAAAAAGCGAGUGCGGAAAGCGGGAAAUUGC